AAAUUGAAGAGUUUGAUCAUGGCUCAGAUUGAACGCUGGCGGCAGGCCUAACACAUGCAAGUCGAACGGUAACAGGAAACAGCUUGCUGUUUCGCUGACGAGUGGCGGACGGGUGAGUAAUGUCUGGGAAACUGCCUGAUGGAGGGGGAUAACUACUGGAAACGGUAGCUAAUACCGCAUAACGUCGCAAGACCAAAGAGGGGGACCCUCGGGCCUCUUGCCAUCGGAUGUGCCCAGAUGGGAUUAGCUAGUAGGUGGGGUAACGGCUCACCUAGGCGACGAUCCCUAGCUGGUCUGAGAGGAUGACCAGCCACACUGGAACUGAGACACG
rnacentral:rRNA from 1 species